rnacentral:rRNA from 1 species
GACGAACACUGGCGGCGUGCUUAACACAUGCAAGUCGAACGGUGAACGAGGGAGCUUGCUCCCUCCGGAUCAGUGGCGAACGGGUGAGUAACACGUGAGCAAUCUGCCCCGAACUCUGGGAUAAGCGUUGGAAACGACGUCUAAUACCGGAUACGACGCGGGAGGGCAUCCUCUCCGCGUGGAAAGAACUUCGGUUCGGGAUGAGCUCGCGGCCUAUCAGCCUGUUGGUGAGGUAACGGCUCACCAAGGCGACGACGGGUAGCCGGCCUGAGAGGGUGACCGGCCACACUGGGACUGAGACACGGCCCAGACUCCUACGGGAGGCAGCAGUGGGGAAUAUUGCACAAUGGGCGCAAGCCUGAUGCAGCAACGCCGCGUGAGGGACGACGGCCAUCGGGUUGUAAACCUCUUUUAGCAGGGAAGAAGCGAAAGUGACGGUACCUGCAGAAAAAGCACCGGCUAACUACGUG